GAUGAACGCUGGCGGCGUGCCUAACACAUGCAAGUCGAGCGAUUCUCUUCGGAGAAGAGCGGCGGACGGGUGAGUAACGCGUGGGUAACCUGCCCUGUACACACGGAUAACAUACCGAAAGGUAUGCUAAUACGGGAUAAUAUGCUUUAGUCGCAUGGCUGAAGUAUCAAAGCUCCGGCGGUACAGGAUGGACCCGCGUCUGAUUAGCUAGUUGGUAAGGUAACGGCUUACCAAGGCGACGUUCAGUAGCCGACCUGAGAGGGUGAUCGGCCACAUUGGAACUGAGACACGGUCCAAACUCCUACGGGAGGCAGCAGUGGGGAAUAUUGCACAAUGGGCGAAAGCCUGAUGCAGCAACGCCGCGUGAGCGAUGAAGGCCUUCGGGUCGUAAAGCUCUGUCCUCAAGGAAGAUAAUGACGGUACUUGAGGAGGAAGCCCCGGCUAACUACGUGCCAGCCGCCGCCGUAA
rnacentral:rRNA from 1 species